rnacentral:sRNA from 1 species
AUUUCGUCUUAGCCACGCAGAAGUCGCGUGUCUAGUUUGUUUCGACGCCGGACCGCGUAAGAGACGAUGAUGUUGGGCACGGAAGGUGGAGAGGGAUUCGUGGUGAAGGUCCGGGGCUUGCCCUGGUCUUGCUCGGCCGAUGAAGUGCAGAGGUUUUUUUCUGACUGCAAAAUUCAAAAUGGGGCUCAAGGUAUUCGUUUCAUCUACACCAGAGAAGGCAGACCAAGUGGCGAGGCUUUUGUUGAACUUGAAUCAGAAGAUGAAGUCAAAUUGGCCCUGAAAAAAGACAGAGAAACUAUGGGACACAGAUAUGUUGAAGUAUUCAAGUCAAACAACGUUGAAAUGGAUUGGGUGUUGAAGCAUACUGGUCCAAAUAGUCCUGACACGGCCAAUGAUGGCUUUGUACGGCUUAGAGGACUUCCCUUUGGAUGUAGCAAGGAAGAAAUUGUUCAGUUCUUCUCAGGUAUGUAGUCAUGUUUGUUGCUGAGCAGUGAGUUUUGGCUAGCUUAUGGCAAGGUGAUUUAAUAGAGGUUAAAGUUGAGUAGCUUAGGUAUUUCAGUAGGUUGUAAAUUGCCAAUGAAU